rnacentral:tRNA from 1 species
CGCGGCGUCUCGCCCGUCAAGCUGGUAUCGGGCAUGGGUGCCGACCCCAAGGGAUUUGGGGGUUCAAGUCCCUCUCCCGCUACCA